CAAUUACAGUGACCUCCGACAACCGCGUGUGCAUUGGCAUGCAAACGUCUCCAAGAGCCAUUGAGCCAAAACACUGCCAGAGGCUCCGUGUGACACCAGCCAAGCCCUGUUACUUGGGGGUCGUGAGUGUGACAUGCACCCACGGGAGAGGCAAGCACCCACCUGAGGACCAAGGGUGGGGCUGGGGGGCUGCCGCAGGCCCUGGCGUUUUCCUCGAUGCUUCCUCAUCCUGGGUGGGCAGCCUCAGAGCCCCCUUUGCAUGCCUUCUGCUGCGAGAGCUGUUGAAUUCAGAGAGAUGUCCCUUCGGAGAACCGCGGGUGUGAAGUCGCCCUGCCACCUGCGGAGUCAGCAACACAUUCCCUUCUGGGGGGCAUGUGCCAGAGGUCCUGGGUGGUUGAGGCUCCAGCCCCGAGUGAGAGGCGACUGCAUUUAAACAGAUCUGAAAGCAGCUGUGAUGGUGGCAGGACCUCGAGGAUAAAGAAGAAACAGGAGUUUGAUUGUCUUUAUAAGAUGUGCUCUACGCUCACCCUCUCCACGAUCAACAAGACACAGGCGUGUUCCGGUCCCCGUGUGUGGUCACGUCAGCCAGCGUGCACGUCGGAGUUGGUGCAGCCUGGGGCUCUGGUUUUCUCUCUGGAAGGAAAGGCCACAGAGAACCAUCCGAAUCGUUUUCAGGAACAGUUGGGUUACUUGCAGCUGCGCCUGUCAUGAGAGUCUGGGCUCAUGAAUUUUAUUGUGCUGAGUCCCGCUAGAGAAGGACUUUACAAACCUGUAUUUUUCUUACCUCAUAAUAAAAGCACCAGGAAGUGAGCA
rnacentral:lncRNA from 1 species